GUGGGGAAUCUUAGACAAUGGGGGAAACCCUGAUCUAGCCAUGCCGCGUGAGCGAUGAAGGCCUUAGGGUUGUAAAGCUCUUUCAGCUGGGAAGAUAAUGACGGUACCAGCAGAAGAAGCCCCGGCUAACUCCGUGCCAGCAGCCGCGGUAAUACGGAGGGGGCUAGCGUUGUUCGGAAUUACUGGGCGUAAAGCGCGCGUAGGCGGACCAGAAAGUUGGAGGUGAAAUCCCAGGGCUCAACCUUGGAACUGCCUUCAUAACUCCUGGUCUGGAGUUCGAGAGAGGUGAGUGGAAUUCCGAGUGUAGAGGUGAAAUGCGUAGAUAUUAGGAGGAACACCAGUGGCGAAGGCGACUUUCUGGACUGUAACUGACGCUGAGGCUCGAAAGCCAGGGGAGCGAACGGGAUUAGAUACCCGGGUAGUCC
rnacentral:rRNA from 1 species